CAAUGCUGCCCACACACAUCUCUCUGACAGCCUAUGGGAGGGGGAGAGCGAGUAGGAGAGAGGGGGAAGAGAUGGAAAAUAGAGAGAGAAACAUAGAACAAGUGAUCGUUCGGGCCUUAAUGGUGCACUAGCUUGAGCUUGAGGUUAGCAUGCAAAGCCCUCGCUGCCCAUGAGGUCCAAGCAAGGAGGUAUCCAAUACCUGGAAAAUGCAAUCCGUUAGCAUUUCCAUUCAGCUCAGCAGCAGUUGCUUGGCUGGAGCAACUGCACCAGAAGUAUGCGACCUGAAUUGUGAAUGUCACAUCUGUCUCCAUUGCCGCGGAAAGCUCAUCUCUCCUACGCUGAUCCGAGACCAGCCUCUCCAGAUAAACCUAAACAAGAGCUAUUGUGAAGGUAAUCUUAAAACCAGUCUGAGAUCAGGGUGAGAGACUGACUUCCACCAGUACCACCUCCAUAGCAAUGGAAACAGGAUCAGCACAAGAAAGACCCUUGUCCUCGCAUAAAAUACGAGACUUCUCAGUGGAGUGCAAAAACAAACACUCCCACCCUUUCAACGAGGCAUUGAGGCACAGAUUAUGAGGCAGUGCACAACACAAACCAUGUUCCAUGAACAGACAAUACCUCAGAGACCACCCUGAGGACAUUUAAACUCUGGAGCCCCCAACGAGGCUUCUUUGUCAUGUUUACACAAACCCAAACUCAACUACAUGAUUUUUGUUGUUUUCUAAAACCUAGUGAGCUGCUUCCAUUUUGCCUUCAAAGAUAUGUCUAAGGCAGUCUCUUUUAACUUUUCAAUGAACACACACACAUACACACACACACACACACACACACACACACACACACACACACACACACAUAUAUAUAUAUAGAGAGAGAGAGAGAGAUUUUUUUUUUUAAAAAAACAUAUAUAUAUAAUAUAAAAUAUAUAUAUGUUCAAUUAUUACAAUAUUUUUGAACAUACCUUUUCUUUUUAUAUUAAAAGUUGCAAAUCAGUUACUUGUGAGGUUCUGUUUAGGAUACUUCUUUAGGAGGCUAUAUAGGAAACAAGGCAGCUCACUAGGAUUUGGAACAUAGUUAAUGACUUUUCAAUGAUGUGUUCCCCCCAGUCCUAGCGUGACUGACCUUCACUGUCACGUGUCUCAACCACUGAGGUCUUGUGGGUCCUGGUAUCAUGACUAAGCUUGAUUGUAUGAAAAGAGAGUGGGCAUUAGCAUUGGUAUUAUUAAAGCCCUGGGCAUCACGGAGGAGCAGCUGGCCGUGAAUGCUCCAGCGAGACUCGGCCGGGCUCUGGAGCUCGCUGCAAAUGGACUGAUCUGGAAUGAAGGGUCCUUUGAACAUCUGCUAAUUUUCCAGCAGCGCUGCUGUAUGAUCUGAGGCCUAGAGAUGAGGGACAUUGGGGGUUGGUUGGUUCAUCAAAACUGCUGUGAAAGCUGGAGAUUCCAGAUGAUGUCCAUAGUCUAGUCUAGUCUAUGUCCAGACAUAGUGUGUGGCAUGCUUUUAAAGUGACAGAUCACCCAAACAUUUUGGUUCAAAUCUGUAUGACCAUCUUUCAUCUGUAGAACAUCAAAGUAGAUAUUUUGAGAAAUGUCUCAGUGUUUUUUUUUUGGCUAAAGUGGAAGUCAAAGGUAAACAAAAUUGUUUGGUUACCAACAUUCUACAAAAUGUUUUUGUAUUUUGUGUUCCAUAGAAAAAUGAAAGUCAUACAAAUUUGGAAUGAUGUGAGGGUGAGUAAUUGAUUUUGGAUGGACUAUCCCUUAAAAAGUGAUCAUAAUACAUAUUAUUUAAAUAAUAUUACACAUUUCUGAGUAAAAUAUGAUAUUCAUUCAGAAAAAAAAAAUGAAUGAAUGAUUGAAUGUAGAAUGAGAUUUGACAAAAACAGUUCUUUAGAAUAACGUGCCAAUUAAUUGUGCAUAAUAAAAAUGGGUAUUAAUAUUCAUGUUGACUUUUAAAAUGGAUUUCAUAAUCUGUAAUACAUUUCUUUGCAUAAACAGC
ensembl:lncRNA